CCUCCGAAGUUUCUCUCAGGAUAGCAAUCCGACGGGAUGUUGUCAUGUGCGGUAAAGCGAAUGAUUAGUGCAUUUGGGGGUCUAUGUAUCUUCGGGCAAUUCUCAAACUUUAAAUGCGCAUGAUGAUGUUGCUGUUUAAAAUUUUAAGCAGUUUCGUUAGAAACGUCGGAUUUGUGGGCCACUUUUGGUAAGCAGAACUGGCGAUACGGGAUGAACCGUAAGUAUGGUUAAGGCGCCGAAUUGGACGCUUAAAGAUCCCAAAAAAGGUGUUGAUUCAUCGAGACAGCAGGACGGUGGCCAUGGAAGUCGGAAUCCGCUAAGGAGUGUGUAACAACUCACCUGCCGAAUGAAUUAGCCCUGAAAAUGGAUGGCGCUUAAGCGGCCAGCCGACACCAUACCAUCUCAAUAAAAAAAAGUGGUCUUUAACUGAGAUGAGUAGGAGGGCGCGCCGGUUGUGUCGAAGCGUAGGGGCGACCCUGCGUGGAACGGCCGGUGAUGCAGAUCUUGGUAGUAGUAGCAAAUAUUCAAGUGUGAACCUUGAAGGGCGAAGUGGGGAAGGGUUCCACGCGAACAUUGGUUGAGCGUGGGUGAGUCGAUCCUAAGCCGCGUGGUUAUAUGCUUGCACCGGCGAAAGGGAAGCAGGUUGACAUUCCUGCACACGGAUGUGGAGGCGGCGACGCCCCUAUUGGCAAGGUGACGUUGGCAUUGACCCUGGGCAGAGUUAUCUUUUCUGUUUAACCGUUCGGUGCGCUCUGUGGAAUCCGUUUGUCGGGAGAAACAGGCGUGCUCGGGCAAAGCGCCGGGGUAUUACCGGCGUCCAGGUCGUUAGUGUCAGCCCUUGAAAAACCUUGUGCUGGGCAAGACCAUAGUCUUGUUAGGGAUUCCACGCCGUAUCGUACCCAUAACCGCAUCAGGUCCCCAAGGUGAACAGCCUCUGCUCAAUAUGAUCAAUGCAGGUAAGGGAAGUCGGCAAAUUAGACCCGUAACCUUGGGAAAAGGGUUGGCUCUAGUGCCGCGUGGGAGUGGUCAUUCUGUGGACGGUGUUGCAUGCUUGACAAGAAAAAAGGGGGUGGUUGAUGACUCGGCCUUUGGGGGGACCCGCUUUGCCCGGUACUUUCCAACUGCUUUUUUGUUUCUUGUUUUAUAGCGUUGCACCUUUCCCUGGAUGGCGCCCACAGCAUGCGGCAAACUAGAACUGCAACGGGCAAAGGGAAUCCGACUGUUUAAUUAAAACAAAGCAUUGCGAAGGCCUUGGGACGGU
rnacentral:rRNA from 1 species